rnacentral:rRNA from 1 species
CGCGAUUCGCCCUUCGGGGUGCCCAGGCGCGAAAACUUUACAAUGCUGGAAACAGCGAUAAGGGGACCUCGAGUGCCAGGUUACAAGUCUGGCUGUCGUGAUGCCUAAAAAGCAUUGCAUAGCAAGGGCCGGGCAAGACCGGUGCCAGCCGCCGCGGUAACACCGGCGGCUCGAGUGGUAACCGUUAUUAUUGGGUCUAAAGGGUCUGUAGCCGGCCGGAUAAGUCUCUUGGGAAAUCCAGCAGCUCAACUGUUGGGCUUUCAGGAGAUACUGUCUGGCUCGAGGCCGGGAGAGGUGAGAGGUACUUCAGGGGUAGGGGUGAAAUCUUGUAAUCCUUGAAGGACCACCAGUGGCGAAGGCGUCUCACCAGAACGGACCUGACGGCAAGGGACGAAAGCUAGGGGCACGAACCGGAUUAGAUACCCGGGUAGUCCUAGCCGUAAACGAUACUCGCUAGGUGUCGGCCACGGUGCGACCGUUGUCGGUGCCGUAGGGAAGCCGUGAAGCGAGCCACCUGGGAAGUACGGCCGCAAGGCUGAAACUUAAAGGAAUUGGCGGGGGAGCAC